GGAGAUGGCUUGGUAGUUAAAGCACUGGUUGCUCUUCCAGAGGACCUGGGUUCGAUUCCCAGCAUCAUCC
rnacentral:tRNA from 1 species